AAGCGGCAACAGCUCAAAUUUGAAAUCUUGGCCCUCGGGUCCGAGUUGUAAUUUGUAGAGGAUGCUUUUGGCGAGGUGCCUUCCGAGUUCCCUGGAACGGGACGCCAUAGAGGGUGAGAGCCCCGUCUGGUCGGACACCGAGCCUCUGUAAAGCUCCUUCGACGAGUCGAGUAGUUUGGGAAUGCUGCUCAAAAUGGGAGGUAUAUGUCUUCUAAAGCUAAAUAUUGGCCAGAGACCGAUAGCGCACAAGUAGAGUGAUCGAAAGAUGAAAAGCACUUUGAAAAGAGGGUUAAAAAGUACGUGAAAUUGUUGAAAGGGAAGCGCCUAUGACCAGACUUGAGCCCGGUGAAUCAUCCAGCGUUCUCGCUGGUGCACUUUGCCGGGCCCAGGCCAGCAUCAGUUUGGCGCGGGGGAUAAAGGUGACGGGAAUGUGGCUCCCUCGGGAGUGUUAUAGCCCGCUACGUAAUACCCUGCGCCGGACUGAGGUACGCGCAUUGCAAGGAUGCUGGCCUUAAUGGUCAUCAGC
rnacentral:rRNA from 1 species